CGAGUAAACCAGGUGAUCGCGGGUACCGUUUGGUAUUCGAGGAAAGUCCGAGCUCCGCAGGGCAGGGUGCUGGGUAACUCCCAGUGGGGGCGACCCCAAGGAAAGUGCCACAGAAAUGUGUACCGCCGUGCGUCGGAGCCGGUCGCCGGAGGUCUGGAAUCGGCAAGCCUUCCGAGACGGACUUCCUGAGACCGGCGGCCGGUACGGUAAGGGUGGAACGGUGCGGUAAGAGCGCACCAGCGGUCAGGUGACUGGCCGGCUAGGUAAACCCCACCCGGAGCAAGACCAAAUAGGGGAACAAUGGAGCGGCCCGCUCCGUUCCCGGGUUAGGUCGCUAGAGGCGUCCGGGCAACCGGCGUCCCAGAUAGAUGAUCAUCCACGACAGAACUCGGCUUACAGGUUUACUCGCCCG
rnacentral:RNase_P_RNA from 22 species